rnacentral:rRNA from 1 species
CCUACGGGAGGCAGCAGUGGGGAAUAUUGGGCAAUGGGCGCAAGCCUGACCCAGCAACGCCGCGUGAAGGAAGAAGGCUUUCGGGUUGUAAACUUCUUUUCUCAGGGACGAAGCAAGUGACGGUACCUGAGGAAUAAGCCACGGCUAACUACGUUCCAGCAGCCGCGGUAAUACGUAGGUGGCAAGCGUUAUUCGGAUUUACGGGGUGUAAAGGGGGUGUAGGCGGGAAAGCAAGUCAGCUGUGAAAACCAUGGGCUCAACCUGUGGCCUGCAUUUGAAACUGUUUGUCUUGAGUACUGGAGGGGCAGACGGAAUUCCUAGGGUAGCAGUGAAAUGCGUAGAUAGUAGGAGGAACACCAGUGGCGAAGGCGGUCUGCUGGACAGCAACUGACGCUGAGGCACGAAGGCGUGGGGAGCGAACAGGAUUAGAUACCCGGGUAGUC